rnacentral:sRNA from 1 species
AAAAGUUUGCGGUGUACUAACUACAGAUAACUUUUACGUAGAAUUUUUUUUAUCCGCAUGCGAUUUAUCGUCCGCUCUAAAAAUAAAGUGGUUUUGUCUGUUAGCGAUUUAGUGUGCU